AUGUGAUCGUCUCUCGCAUAUCAAUAAGCGGAGGAAAAGAAACUAACAAGGAUUCCCCUAGUAACGGCGAGUGAAGCGGGAAGAGCUCAAAUUUGAAAUCUUAAAGGGUUUCCCUUUACGAAUUGUAGUUUAAAGAAGUGUUUUCUGUUGAGGUUUUGGUAAAAGUUCUUUGGAAUAGGACAUCAUAGAGGGUGAGAAUCCCGUAUUUGACCUUUACUUUCAACUUUGUGAUACACUUUCAAAGAGUCGGAUUGUUUGGGAAUGCAGUCCAAAAUGGGUGGUAAAUUUCAUCUAAAGCUAAAUAUUGGCGAGAGACCGAUAGCGAACAAGUACCGUGAGGGAAAGAUGAAAAGAACUUUGAAAAGAGAGUUAAACAGUACGUGAAAUUGUCAAAAGGGAAGCGUUUGACACCAGUGUUGUUUUCUCGAAAAUCAAUUAAAGAACUGUUUAUGCUAAGUUGUUUAGACUUUAUCAGCUAACUGUUUAGUUUUGAGCUUUUCUUUAAUGCACUUUUCAGUUAACAAGUCAACAUCAAUUUCUUUUGCUGUAAAAAAGCUUGAGGAAGGUGGCUUGAGAUUCGUCUUAAGUGUUUAUAGCCUCUUGCCUAUGCAGUCGGAGAGAUUGAGAUCUGCAGCGUAGAUCCUUCGGGGCUAAAUGCAUUUGUGCUAAGUUAUAGCAUUUUAUAGACAACUUGUUGACUAUGAUUUGUCUUGUAGCUUACUCGCUUAUGUUAUUUUACCUACGCUUAGGAUGUUGAAGUCAUCGUAUCGCGC
rnacentral:rRNA from 1 species